CUGGACUGGAAUAUAUCAGGCCCAGAGAAAACAAACAUGGCCACCUACAGAAAAACAGUGGAGUAGAGGCUCAAACAGCUUGUCAAGAAGCUCCCUGUUACGGAAGACAAGCCUAUGGACUCUCCUUCCUUAAGCUAAUCCAGUUCUGUACAUGUAUAAAUCAAGACAUCACUGUCUGCAGCUAUGGAAACUCACACUGGAAACUUGCAAGGAUGUUGCUAUCUGAACAAAACUGAGAUGCAUAAAAAUAAUGGCUUCUGAAAGCCUCUUUAUCUAACACAGUGUCUUGAAAGGUCAAUGGUGUGCUUCCAGAUGAAUGAUGAAUUUGAGCUUCGUCAUACCCAUUGCUUCAUACUGGCAAGUACUGGAUGGGGUAGUGAAAGGACAGCCUGGUGUGCAGGCAGCCAAGCCUCCAGGCAGAGGUGUCCGUCCCUGAGCUAGAGCACUGGUUUCUUCACCUGACCUUCUGCCCUUUCAAUCGCAUAGAACUAAAUCUCACUUUUCAA